UUUCUGUAUUUUCUUUUGUAUUAAGGAUGACGUGGAUGCUAGAAGGGAGUCCCUCAUUAAAAAGGACUUUGCCUCUAUUUGAAGGAGAAUCCUGACAUCUUGGUGCACGAGUACAUGGACAUGACUGAUGUCUCCACUCUCAGUGCCAUUGAGAAAACAACAGUGGGAGUCUAUGUUGCCAGGGAGACACCAGGCAAGGACUUUCCUGAUGUUGGCAUCAUCAUCGAAGGUGUGGUGAUACUUCAGGACCUGGAUAAUGUGGCCCUUGCAACAGCCAUGCUGUUUGGACUUUUUUACUGCUUCAACAUGAGUUACCUGGCACAGCUCCCCUACACUUUUGAGGUGAUUCAAAAGGUGGUCAUGGAAUUGGAUCCGACUGAACUCUCGAGAAAAGCCCAAAACUUAAAGACAAAACUUCAAUAAGGAGAGAUCAUUGUUGUGCACGUCACAUGUUUAACUAAAGGUAAGAGGACAUUUAUAGUUCACAUACGCCCUCUUGCAUUUUGGACAUUGAAUUUGUAGGUGAAUGAUCAGCAACCCAAAAACCAUCACAUUGUUCAGUGUAGUGUUUAUUCUGUGGGAUGGUUAUAACUGUUUACCUGCCAUGGAAACGUAGUGCCAUUUUUUUCUGUUUAAUUGGUAUGGUUCUUCAAUU